rnacentral:rRNA from 1 species
UAAGAAGGGACUCGCGUCCCAAUUAGCUAGUUGGUAAGGUAACGGCCUACCAAGGCGACGAUGGGUAGCCGGCCUGAGAGGGUGAACGGCCACAUUGGAACUGAGAAACGGUCCAAACUCCUACGGGAGGCAGCAGUGGGGAAUAUUGCACAAUGGGGGAAACCCUGAUGCAGCGACGCCGCGUGAACGAAGAAGGCUUUCGAGUCGUAAAGUUCUUUUAUAUGGGAAGAUAAUGACGGUACCAUAAGAAAAAGCCCCGGCUAACUACGUGCCAGCAGCCGCGGUAAUACGUAGGGGGCUAGCGUUGUCCGGAAUCACUGGGCGUAAAGGGUUCGCAGGCGGAAAUGCAAGUCAGAUGUAAAAGGCAGUAGCUUAACUACUGUAAGCAUUUGAAACUGCAUAUCUUGAGAAGAGUAGAGGUAAGUGGAAUUUUUAGUGUAGCGGUGAAAUGCGUAGAUAUUAAAAAGAAUACCGGUGGCGAAGGCGACUUACUGGGCUCAUUCUGACGCUGAGGAACGAAAGCGUGGGUAGCAAACAGGAUUAGAUACCCUGGUAGUCCACGCUGUAAACGAUGAGUGCUAGGUGUCGGCGUAAGUCGGUGCCGCAGUUAACACAAUAAGCACUCCGCCUGGGGAGUACGUGCGCAAGCAUGAAACUCAAAGGAAUUGACGGGGACCCGCACAAGCAGCGGAGCAUGUGGUUUAAUUCGAAGCAACGCGAAGAACCUUACCAAGGCUUGACAUACUGAGGAA